ensembl:snoRNA
GGCCUCCUUACCACUGGCUGCAUUCUUACACUGACUGUAUAGAAAGAGGAGGCAGAGUAGACUUUCCCCAAAUAUACCUCAACUCAGGCUUCAUGCCUGGUCUCUACUAUGAAUGGGGGGACAUGG